rnacentral:rRNA from 1 species
AACAUGUCUGCGCGCGAAUUUAUGCGCAGUCUGGCCUGCCCACUGGGAGUUUGAAGGGCCGCGGUAUACUGACCGUGCGAAGGUAGCAUAAUCAAUAGUGUUUUAAUUGAAGACUGGAAUGAAGGGUCGGACAAGGGGUUUACUGUCUCUGAAAUAAAACUUGAACUUUACCUUUAAGUGAAAAGGCUUAAAUGAUGUAAGGGGACGAUAAGACCCUAUAAAACUUAACAAGUUAUGUAAUUAGAUGUACGAAUUAACUGUAGUGUAAACUUGAUAACUAUAUAAUUGUUUUGUUGGGGCGACAGGGAUAUAAUAGUAUUAACUGUCUUUUUCGUUGAAAUAGCGAUGAUUAGUG